GGAGGGGUGGGUGAGUGGACUAAACCACCGGUCUUGAAAACCGGCGUGCCUUAGUGCACCGUGGGUUCGAAUCCCACCCCCUCCGCCA
rnacentral:tRNA from 1 species